rnacentral:rRNA from 1 species
UUAACAAAAACAUGUCUUUUUGAAUUUAAAUAUAAAGUCUAAUCUGCCCACUGAUAAAUUAUUUAAUGGCCGCAGUAUUUUAACUGUGCAAAGGUAGCAUAAUAAUUAGUCUUUUAAUUGAAGGCUUGUAUGAAUGAUUGGACGAGAUAUAAACUGUCUCAUAAAAGUUUUUUUAGAAUUUAAUUUUUUAGUUAAAAAGCUAAAAUGAAUUUAAAAGACGAGAAGACCCCAUAGAUCUUUAUAUUUUUUUUUAUUAAUAUUAUUUAGUUUUUUUAUAAAUUAAUAAAUAAAAAUAUUUUGUUGGGGUGACAUUGAAAUUUAAUAAACUUUCAAAAUUUAAUAACAUUAAUUUAUGAAUUUAUGAUCCUUUAUUAUUGAUUAAAAAUUUAAGUUACCUUGGGGAUAACAGCGUAAUUAUUUUGGAAAGUUCAUAUUGAUAAAAUAGAUUGCGACCUCGAUGUUGGAUUAAGAUUAAUUUUGGGUGUAGCAGUUCAAAAUAUUAAGUCUGUUCGACUUUUAAUUUCUUACGUGAUCUG